UACGAAGGGGGCGAGCGUUGUUCGGAUUUACUGGGCGUAAAGGGCGCGCAGGCGGUCUUGAAAGUCAGGCGUGAAAGCCCCGGGCUUAACCUGGGAAUUGCGCUUGAUACUCUGAGACUGGAGUACGGGAGAGGAGGGUGGAAUUCCCAGUGUAGAGGUGAAAUUCGUAGAUAUUGGGAAGAACACCAGUGGCGAAGGCGGCUCUCUGGACCGUAACUGACGCUGAGGUGCGAAAGCGUGGGGAGCAAACAGG
rnacentral:rRNA from 1 species